CCGGUGUUGCGGUCAAGUUGAUAAUGAGAGUGGGCACGUCCGAGCGCUUCGAAGGGAGCGAAUAGAGUUCGGCGCGGGGCUGGCUCACCAGUCGCCAGCCACAGGCGGCCGAGCUACAGCCGAGCGACGCUGAAGCGGAGAUUUCAGUUCACAUGACGUACACGCUAUUAGUAGAUAGUCAUUAGCCUCGACAAGAGCAAUUCAUCGGAGUGCAGAGAGCCUUACGUGUUAGAAAGAUUGCGAAUGUUAGCUACAAAUGAAAUAGUUUUGUGGCGCCGCGUGUGAUUAUUGUACGUGACCAUGGAGAGUGCAGAAGUAAUUUUGUUCGCAAGAACAUCGAAAAUAGAGUUGCCGCAAGGCGACUUAUUUUAUGUACUUAUACUUUGAAAUCAUUACAACGCCACAUCAUUGUUACUAUUAAUUUAUUUGAACAAGGAAAAUUAAUUAUUAACUUCGAUCAUUGUUUUUUGAUAAAGCUGAACAAAAUUAUUUCAAACGCAUUGAGUACAUAUACGUUGUAGUAAAGUUGUGGUAUAAACAUACCUAUUAACUUUGUACUGAGUUACGGUAAAAAUGAAAUAUCAUUGAAUUUUGUUGUGUAAAUUCAUGAACAAAUACACGUCAGAUGUAUUAAUUAAAGAACGACUGGUUUUCCUGUUGUAAUAAUAUCUUGUGGUUGACAUUGAGUUACAUAUUAUAUUCUUAUGAUUUUUUUUGAUACUGCAAAAAUUACCAAACAUAUCUAUCUGUAAGGUAUAAUUGAAAGUUAAUUGAUAUUUGUGUUAGAAUUUUCUUUAAAAUCAGAUAGAAAAUAAUCUCAUUCGUCAUCAUCAACAGCGUAUUUUAGUCCACUGUUGGACAUAUUAUUAUGUAGGCAUCUCCCAAGAAAUGAUCUGACCCUGAGUCUCUAGUCUUCAACUCCGUCUCUUCAACUUGUUACCACCUACACCACGUUUAUCGAUUUGCGGUCUCAAUUUUCAACGGUUAUCGGUUCUUCAAUAGAUAUGACCGACCUUUGCCACUUUAGCUUGCUUCUCAUUCGUUGAUUUUUAAUUAAUUAUUUAAAUAUGACUUUUAGUUUGCAUUUGCAUCUGAAUUACGGUCGCUUACACUGUAUAUUAUAUUGAAAUUGAGCACAAAUUGUGAACGCCUUAAUUAAUAGAUACAUAAGUAAUUACAAAAUUCAAUUUAGCCAAUUCAUAUAAUUGUUAACGCCUUUUAGUUAUUGAUUAGCAAUCGUUAGAACGGUACUUUCGAUGAGUCCUUUGUCGAGUUGAUGAAUGCAACAAAAUAAUAAUAAAUAUCCAUCGAUUUAAAUAUAUUUAGUUCUUGAAUUUGAGUGACGAUUUUGCCGCGAUUUUUUCGCAAUUUUGACCAAAUUCUACUUCAACGUAACUUGUUGCUAUCUCUAUAUUUAAUUUUACAGGAACAUAAAACGUAAAAAACGAAAUGUUAAUAUUGUAAAAUUUUGGUUUUCGUCAGAAGUAUUACCGUUAUAUAGCGUCGAAACGUCGAAAAAGAAGAUUGGAAGGUACCUAGCUUCCUACAAGCGAAACAUAUGAUCUUCUAGCAGAUUUCAGAACAAAAAAUGUGGAGGUGCUUCUAAAUCUUUAUAUUUCGUUGCUUUGUGUAUCUAUAACGUAGCAUUAAAUAGUCCGGCACUUUUCGAUGCAAAUUGCCACGUUUCGAAUUCUCUAAAAUUCCGUGGGUUUCUUUAGAUAUUUUUUGCUCACUCGAUUCCUUAAAUGUUUCCCUAAUGUUCGAUAACGUCUGUGAACACUGAAUGAAAAAAAUAAAGAUGACUUAUUCCUUU